GCAUGGUCCAAAACUUUCAGAUCUGCCAUGAAAUUGUUUCCCUGUAACAGACUAAAGGAAAGCCAGUACAGAAUCUUACAUAGACUACAGCGUACGCCGGAGUUCCUAAAUAAAAUUCACCCUCAGAUUUCUGCUCUUUGUGUGAAGUGCAAUACGGCUGUAGGGACCUAUUACCACUGCAUAUGGCAAUGUCCUUUAAUUACUAGAUUUUGGAAGAAUAUUGCUAUAGAGCUUUGCUCUAUUUUCCACCGAACGAUCCCACUGAACCCUAUGCUGUUCGUUCUGGGUCUAUCUAUAGAAGGGCUCUCUCUGUCUUCUGUACAGAUGCUUUUGUUAAGUAAACUUUUACAUUUGGCGAGGCGAUGUGUACUGUUUCAAUGGAUUCAGAGACGGCCUCCUACUGUUACACAGUGGUACAGAGAACUGCUCAGGGUGCUGCCGAUGGAGCGCCUCAGUGCCAUCAUAAAGGGCAAUUGUAAUGCAUUCUGUAGCAUAUGGCAGCCUCUGCUUGAUCACCUACCUCAUGACCUUACUGUGCUAUUACAUAAAGGGGACUCGCAUUUUGUUUUUAAACACACUGAUUAAUGUCUGUGUUUUCCCCCCCUUUUUUUUUUUUUUUAUUUAUUGUUUCCCUUGACUUCGAAUGUGAAACGCUUUACAUAUUUUGUCCCAGGCGUGUGUACUGGUAACUCAUAUACCUGCAUUUGCUUUGUUUUUUUUUUUUUUUUGUUUUUUUGUUUUUUUUUUGUGCUUGGCUGUGCUGACUUGUUGCUGUUCGUGUUGUUCUGACAAAAUCAAUAAAUCAUCGUUUCAAAAAAAAAAAGAUCAAUCCACCAGGUGCUCCCUUAAUUUCACUCCAAUUUUGGACAAAACACAACAAAAGCUAAAUGCUUGGCUGCAGCGGGAUUUAUCUAUUAAAGGGAGAGUUUUACUCACGAAAGCAGAGGGUUUAUCUCGUCUAACUCAUGCUGCUUUGUCUCUUGAUGUAAAUAAAGAAACCCUGGCAGAUAUUGACAGACAUCUUUAUAAUUUCAUAUGGAAGAAUAGAAUUCAUUAUAUUAAAAGAUCAGUUUUAUCCAGCUCAUACCAACAUGGUGGAGUAGGGCUGCUCAAUUAAUCGAAUUUUAAUCACGAUUACGAUCUGGGCUUUCAACGAUCAUUAAAAAUGACUGAGCCGAUUAUUAGCCCCUCCCUCAUUUAUCCGCGACACCUUAAAGGCCGGUCCGUGAAAAUAUUGUCGGGCAUAAACCGUCCGUGGCGCAAAAAAGGUUGGAGACCGCUGAUUAAGAGGACCCGAGGGAAGCUCGGAAAGCUCGGAAAGCUAAGCAGGAGUUAUUUGGAGAGUGACUGCCGCUGGUUGAAAAGAGAGUUUAAAAAAAAAAACUUCAGUGGUGUUGCACACUAUUUUAUAUUAUUUUU
ensembl:lncRNA